rnacentral:lncRNA from 1 species
GAGGUUUCGUCGUAUAGACUCAAAUAACUAGUAAGUUCGGAUAACUCCGACUUAGCCAAAAUAACAUAACACUUCUGAGUACGCAGCGGAAUAAGAUUCUGAAUACAUGUAUGAAGACAUGUAUCCCUAGAGUUCAUUAAUACAUAAUAAGACAAAAGAGUCCCGCUCGUCACUUCAUCACCAUCGGCAGCUACUCAACCUGCA